UACAGAGGUCCCAAGCGUUGUUCGGAUUCACUGGGCGUAAAGGGUGCGUAGGCGGUUGGGUAAGUCUGUCGGGAAAUCUCCGAGCCCAACUCGGAAACUGCGUCGGAUACUAUUCAACUCGAGGAAUGGAGGGGAGACUGGAAUUCUCGGUGUAGCAGUGAAAUGCGUAGAUAUCGAGAGGAACACCAGUGGCGAAGGCGAGUCUCUGGACAUUUCCUGACGCUGAGGCACGAAAGCCAGGGGAGCAAACGGG
rnacentral:rRNA from 1 species